UAACACCACCAUACCACCCUGAAAAUACCCAGUCUCACAGGAGGUUGGAAGUCGAGCAGGAAUGAGCCCAGUUAGUAUUUGGAUGGAAGACCAAGAAUCUCCAAGGAGGCCUAAU
rnacentral:rRNA from 1 species